UACGUAGGGUGCAGGCGUUAAUCGGAAUUACUGGGCGUAAAGCGUGCGCAGGCGGUUUGCUAAGACAGGUGUGAAAUCCCUGGGCUCAACCCAGGAACUGCGUCCGAUACUGGCAGGCUUGAAUUCGGGAGAGGGAUGCGGAAUUCCAGGUGUAGCGGUGAAAUGCGUAGAUAUCUGGAGGAACACCGGUGGCGAAGGCGGCAUCCUGGACCGAUAUUGACGCUGAGGCGCGAAAGCCAGGGGAGCAAACGGG
rnacentral:rRNA from 1 species